UCCCUGAAGCCUUGGUUCUGAACACACAACCCACGUACUUUGCACUGUGCAGGCUGUCACACUGUGCCACUCCAUCGAACAAGCCCCUGACACAUCUCCGCUGAGACUUGAGACCAUUGUAUGCACUCAAUUGCAGUGAGUGACUGCUGUACGUAUAGUUUCCAGCUCUUAGAGAAACAUAAUGGAUUCACUAUGGAAAACAAAGACUUCCAAUAUUUCUCUGCUGUCAUUCCUCAGCUGGGUCUCAUAUAAACCAGGAUGGCCUUAAACUCUCUGUGCAAUGGAGGAUGACCUUGAACAUCUGGCCCUCCUGCCUCCACCUCCUGAGUGCUGGGACAAUGGGCACGGACCCGCUUUAACACAGUACUGGAGACUGAACGCAGGGCCUCACGCAUGCUACGUGAACACUAUUUCACCUGAGCUACACACGAAGCCUGAGGAUCAGAGGAGACACGUGUAUGUACAAAAAGGGGAAUUUGAUGUCAAGAGAUCGUCAUGAAAGGCAGAGUUCAUUGACUUCCUCCGUCCCUUUAUGUCUACCUUCAGGUACCAGUCAGAAGGCCUGGCCAGCCCAGGUUUGGUCCAUGCCAGCUGCCCUAUUAAAGUUCAAGAUUCUGUUUA